rnacentral:rRNA from 1 species
AGAGUUUGAUCCUGGCUCAGAAUGAACGCUGGCGGCAUGGAUUAGGCAUGCAAGUCGAACGGGGCACCUUCGGGUGCCUAGUGGCGAAAGGGUGAGUAACACGUGAGCAACCUGCCCCCGAGUCUGGAAUAAGCGAUGGAAACGUCGUCUAAUACCGGAUGAGGACUGGGGUCUCCUGACUCCAACUCCAAAGAUUUAUCGCUUGGGGAUGGGCUCGCGUCCCAUUAGCUAGUUGGCGGGGUAAUGGCCCACCAAGGCUGUGACGGGUAGGUGGACUGAGAGGUUGGUCACCCACACUGGGACUGAGACACUGCCCAGACUCCUACGGGAGGCUGCAGUCGAGAAUCUUCCGCAAUGGGCGCAAGCCUGACGGAGCGAUGCCGCGUGAGGGAAGAAGGCCUUCGGGUUGUAAACCUCUGUCACCCGGGACGAAGCAAAUGACGGUACCGGGAGAGGAAGUCACGGCUAACUACGUGCCAGCAGCCGCGGUAAUACGUAGGUGGCGAGCGUUAUUCGGAUUCACUGGGCGUAAAGGGUCCGCAGGGGGCCUGCCAAGUCUGUCGUGAAAUCCCGGGGCUCAACCCCGGGCCUGCGGUGGAAACAGGCGGGCUGGAGUGUGUGAGGGGCAGACGGAACACCUGGUGUAGCGGUGGAAUGCGUGGAUAUCAGGUGGAACACCGAUGGCGAAGGCGGUCUGCUGGCACACAACUGACCCUCAGGGACGAAAGCGUGGGUAGCAAACAGGAUUAGAUACCCUGGUAGUCCACGCU